rnacentral:misc_RNA from 1 species
AGCAGCCGCGGUAAUUCCAGCUCCAAUAGCGUAUAUUAAAGUUGUUGCAGUUAAAAAGCUCGUAGUUGAAUUUCGGGAUCAAUAUGUUGGUCGUGCCUCGGUACGUACUAGCUUAUUGGUUUCUCCUUUCUGAAGAACCAUGAUGUCAUUUAUUUGGUGUCGUGGGGAAUCAGGACUGUUACUUUGAAAAGAUUAGAGUGUUUAAAGCAGGCUCACGCUUGAAUACAUUAGCAUGGAAUAAUGAAAUAGGACGUUUGAUUCUAUUUUGUUGGUUUCUAGGAUCGACGUAAUGAUUAAUAGGGAUAGUUGGGGGCAUUAGUAUUCAAUUGUCAGAGGUGAAAUUCUUGGAUUUAUUGAAGACUAACUACUGCGAAAGCAUUUGCCAAGGAUGUUUUCAUUAAUCAAGAACGAGAGUUAGGGGAUCGAAGACGAUCAGAUACCGUCGUAGUCUUAACCAUAAACUAUGCCGACUAGGGAUCGGAUGAUGUUGAUUUUUUAAAUGACUCAUUCC